UGGGGAAUAUUGCACAAUGGGCGCAAGCCUGAUGCAGCCAUGCCGCGUGUAUGAAGAAGGCCUUCGGGUUGUAAAGCACUUUCAGCGGGGAGGAAGGCGUUAAGGUUAAUAACCUUGGCGAUUGACGUUACCCGCAGAAGAAGCACCGGCUAACUCCGUGCCAGCAGCCGCGGUAAUACGGAGGGUGCAAGCGUUCAUCGGAAUUACUGGGCGUAAAGCGCACGCAGGCGGUCUGUCAAGUCGGAUGUGAAAUCCCCGGGCUCAACCUGGGAACUGCAUUCGAUACUGGCAAGCUUGAGUCUCGUAGAGGGGGGUAGAAUUCCAGGUGUAGCGAUGAAAUGCGUAGAGAUCUGGAGGAAUACCGGUGGCGAAGGCGGCCCCCUGGACGAAGACUGACGCUCAGGUGCGAAAGCGUGGGGAGCAAACAGG
rnacentral:rRNA from 1 species